UCCACUUUCUCUCUCCUCCAUUUUCGCUCUCCGUCUCCUUCGUGAUUCUCUCUCCUCCGUUUUCGCUCUCCCUCCGUGAUUAUCUCUCCUCAACGCCACCGUGUCUCCUCACUUGCUGCAACCACCGUGCCACCACCAUCUCUACGCUUCCAUCCUCUAUAUAUGAGUCGUCUCCUCUAUUGCAAUUGGUUUUAAUGAAUAUGGGUUACCAUCUUUCGCCCCUCAAUGCAUCAGAAUGAAUAUCAGUGACAAUUUGGCAGUUAUAUCCCGCACAUUUUGAGAGAUAUGAGAAUCAAAAUGAAGGUCUUUAAGAUAAGAUCAUGUUGUUGUCUUCGCAUCCAUAGCAGCAAUGGGAGUGGCAUUCCUAACAUUGGCAACCUCACUUCCAAGCAUGAUACCCCCUCCAUGCAGAAACUUCAGGGCACCACAGAAUGACUGCGUUGCAGCGAAUGGAAAGCAAUUAGUCAUGCUAUACUCUUCUCCUUACAUCAAGAUUGUUAGGAGUGCUAGAUAUCAAGAUUGUAUAAUAACCCCUCAAUACAUAAAAAUGAGCUUGGUCAAGCUUGCUCGUGAUCAAUAAUAGUUAGGCUGCUUGUUAUAUCACGCACAUUCAACAUGUUCAGCUAUUUGUCAUGAAGAAGAGCUGGAUAAAAGUUACUGAAAUUACAGGACUCGCUCGUCAAACUAGAAUUAAAUGUUUGGUUGUAUCUAGCACGGAGUAAAUCAUUUGCUGUCUUUAGGAGUUGACGGACUGCUAAAUAAAGGUUUGUCUUCUUAACUAUACCACUCAAAAAACACUGUUUAUAAUGAUUUCAUGCCCUGUUUCUGCUCAUUGUGCUUUAGCAGCAAUUAUUAUAGAAGGAUAUGCCUAGUUUAUGUUUAUUUGUUCGAAUGAUUGGGAUACUUCCUUUUCAGAGUUGUGAUUUUGGAACAUUCUAUCAUGUACAGUGGAAUAGUAUGUAUGCAAUACAUU